rnacentral:rRNA from 1 species
UACGUAGGUGGCGAGCGUUGUCCGGAUUUACUGGGCGUAGAGAGCGCGCAGGCGGUCGUACAAGUCGCGUGUGAAAGCCCCCGGCUCAACUGGGGAGGGUCACGCGAUACUGUUCGACUCGAAGGCAGGAGAGGGAAGUGGAAUUCCCGGUGUAGUGGUGAAAUGCGUAGAUAUCGGGAGGAACACCAGUGGCGAAGGCGACUUCCUGGCCUGUUCUUGACGCUGAGGCGCGAAAGCUAGGGUAGCAAACGGG